UGUUUCGGCUAGGGGGCCAUCCCGGCUUACCAACCCGAUGCAAACUGCGAAUACCGGAGAAUGUUAUCACGGGAGACACACGGCGGGUGCUAACGUCCGUCGUGAAGAGGGAAACAACCCAGACCGCCAGCUAAGGUCCCAAAGUCAUGGUUAAGUGGGAAACGAUGUGGGAAGGCCCAGACAGCCAGGAUGUUGGCUUAGAAGCAGCCAUCAUUUAAAGAAAGCGUAAUAGCUCACUGGUCGAGUCGGCCUGCGCGGAAGAUGUAACGGGGCUAAACCAUGCACCGAAGCUGCGGCAGCGAACGUAUCACUUAAAGCGAUUCAGCGGGUUACGAUUGACGGAGCGAAGCGACGUCAAAGCGUAUACAAAGUCGAGUCGGUUUAAGGAUACGUUCGUUGGGUAGGGGAGCGUUCUGUAAGCCUGUGAAGGUGGCCUGUGAGGGUUGCUGGAGGUAUCA
rnacentral:rRNA from 1 species